GUAUCCUACGGGGGGCAGCAGUGGGGGAUAUUGCACAAUGGGGGAAACCCUGAUGCAGCGACGCCGCGUGUGGGAAGACGGUCCUCUGGAUUGUAAACCACUGUCCCCAGGGACGAAGAUGACGGUACCUGGGGAGGAAGCUCCGGCUAACUACGUGCCAGCAGCCGCGGUAAUACGUAGGGAGCGAGCGUUGUCCGGAAUUACUGGGAGUAAAGGGAGCGUAGGCGGGGAUGCAAGUUGGGUGUCAAAACUACCGGAUCAACUGGUAGUCGACCUCAAAACUGCAGAUCUUGAGGGAAGU
rnacentral:rRNA from 1 species